CUUACACAAUUGAAUUGGAGCACAAAAUCUCCCGUCUGGAAGAAGAAAAUCAAAAGCUCAGGAGACAAAAGGAGAUAGAGAACAUAUUAUUGAGUGUGACACCUCAAAAACCAAGAUACCAGAUUCGUCGAACUACAUCAGCUUCAUUUUGACAUUUUUGUACCUGUAAGGACAAAUUUGUAGAUAUAUAUGAGCAUCAAUGGAUGCUUCUUUUGGUUGUUGUGUGUUAGUAAUAUUAGCUAUUUGAUGCAUUUGGAUACAAGGAACCGUUGUUUUGUUAUUACGC
rnacentral:sRNA from 1 species